UACGUAGGUGGCAAGCGUUGUCCGGAAUUAUUGGGCGUAAAGCGCGCGCAGGUAGUUUCUUAAGUCUGAUGUGAAAGCCCACGGCUCAACCGUGGAGGGUCAUUGGAAACUGGGGAACUUGAGUGCAGAAGAGGAAAGUGGAAUUCCAAGUGUAGCGGUGAAAUGCGUAGAGAUUUGGAGGAACACCAGUGGCGAAGGCGACUUUCUGGUCUGUAACUGACACUGAGGCGCGAAAGCGUGGGGAGCAAACAGG
rnacentral:rRNA from 1 species